AGGACGCGUUAUCAAUGAAGCACUGGUGCUGACAUCUCAUCAUCUUCAGUCCGCCCACGAUGACCGCAGCCAGCAUCGAUUCUAUAGCAUUUUGGUAUAAUCACGGAGAAUGGCAUGGAGACUUGCGAAAGAGAGCCAAAGUGUAAAGUCAUUCUGUCGAAAGACACAGCGAGUUAUUUUUGUUCGUCGCGCGCCUGACACCGAGGGUGGUUUCCCCUUUGCUCGUUUUUGCAGUCCGCUGCGACGACGCUCGGCGUCGUCCGAUUCCACAAGGCCAUUAAGAUUAUCUUUAGCUACGAAAAACGACGAGAUUGACUUCCAUCGGUGCGGCGCAGUCGCCUCUGCUGUGCAACAGGAAAAAAGAGGCUCGUGCGCGGCAGUUGGCGAAAUGUGGUAACAAAUAUACGCCUCGUUCUUUCCAUAUAACUAGAAAUUGAUCAUAUUGAUGGAGGAAUUAAAAUCCCAAUAUUUAACAUACAAUACACAUAAUUGUGUAAAUGGUAUUUUGCAAUUUCCUGUACUGUACUAUACACAUACACAUGCAAAAUUGUAUGAUGAACAGUUAUUUACGUAUACUGAGAUGAUACAUUUGAAUAUUAGCAAGUAACAGGUAAUCAAAAGUUCACAUGUAUCAAUGUAAGGGAUAUAAAUAAAGUAUGAUGAGUUUCUGAAAA